rnacentral:rRNA from 1 species
UACGAAGGGUGCAAGCGUUACUCGGAAUUACUGGGCGUAAAGCGUGCGUAGGUGGUUUGUUAAGUCUGUUGUGAAAGCCCCGGGCUCAACCUGGGAAUGGCAGUGGAAACUAGGGGACUGGAAUCUGGCAGAGGGGGGUGGAAUGCCGCGUGUAGCAGUGAAAUGCGUAGAGAUGCGGCGGAACACCGAUGGCGAAGGCAGCACCCUGGGCUGAGAUUGACGCUCAGGCGCGAAAGCGUGGGGAGCAAACAGG